GACAAACUGCAACAGAGUCACAUCGAGUUGAGACUUCUCCAAGGGCCAUGGGGUUGACAUCUGUAUUCUCAGAGCUGAUUACCAACUCCUACCACUGUUAACCCUCAUCCAGGAACAAGCUUAUGUCUUUAACAUUCUGAGUGGGCUUCAGCAUCCUUGCAUAUGUUCAAUUCUUAAAAACCUGUUGAAAUAAAAGAUCAGGAGACAUAGGAAGGAUGCCAGAAGAGAGCGUGGCCUCACGUGUACCAGCUCUCUGCUCUCCUUUGCCUUGGGACGUUCCAUCCCUGGAAGUUUCCCUGCCCACAUCUUUGUAGAGAGUCCAUUCUCCAAGCUUCAGUGUGUCAUCUGUGAGGACCGUGACCCACCUGGUACAUCGCCUCAGGGCAUUCAUUUCAGGCUCCUUCUAAAUGGCCAAGAGACAACACCAACAUUUUUGUAAUGGCCUGCAAGGCCUUCCGAGAUCUACCUCCUGCAACUCAGCUUCUCCUGUGCUCUCCUUCUGGACUCACUCUGCCUCAGCAACACUGGUCCCUGUUGCCCCACCAAUAUGCCAGGCCAUGAGAGAAGCAGUACCUUAUAAUGGUUCCUUGUUCAAAGCACUCAAUAUUCCUAGGAUGUGGUCUCCCAGCUGACUUCAUAACUGAAUCAUCAGUAAUUAAUUUCAUUGUUCUAUUAG
rnacentral:lncRNA from 10 species